rnacentral:misc_RNA from 1 species
GAUGAAGAACGUAGCGAAAUGCGAUAAGUAGUGUGAAUUGCAGAUUUCAGUGAAUCAUCGAAUCUUUGAACGCACAUUGCGCCCUUUGGUAUUCCUUAGGGCAUGCCUGUUCGAGCGUCAUUUAAACCUUCAAGCUCAGCUUGGUGAUGGGUGACUGUCCGCUGCCUCGCCCCGGGGUGCGCCGCGGACUCGCCUCAAAUUUAUUGGCGGCCGGUACGUUGGCUUCGAGCGCAGCAGAAACGCGUAACUCGAGGUCUCCGUGGCGGCUCCCACAAGCAACCUUCAUUAUUUUGACCUCGGAUCAGGUAGGGAUACCCGCUGAACUUAAGCAUAUCAAUAAGCGGAGGA